AGACUUUGAUUAUGGCUCAGAACGAACGCUGGCGGCGCGUUUUAAGCAUGCAAGUCGAGCGGCAAGGGCCUCCGUGGCCCCUAGAGCGGCGGACGGGUGAGUAACACGUGGACAAUCUGCCCCCCGGCCGGGGAUAGCCCAGGGAAACCUGGAUUAAUACCGGAUGAGACGGGACGCACGAUGGUGCGGUCCGGGAAAGGCGCUGCGGCGCCGCCGGGGGAUGAGUCCGCGACCCAUUAGCUGGACGGCGGGGUAAAGGCCCACCGUGGCGACGAUGGGUAGCCGGCCUGAGAGGGUGGACGGCCACAUUGGAACUGAGACACGGUCCAGACUCCUACGGGAGGCAGCCAGCUAAGAAUCUUCCGCAAUGGGCGAAAGCCUGACGGAGCGACGCCGCGUGAACGAAGAAGGCCGUGAGGUUGUAAAGUUCUUUUCGGGAGGGGGAAUUACCGUGGCAGGGAAUGGCCGCGGGAUGACGUGAAUCCCGGAACAAGCCCCGGCUAACUACGUGCCAGCAGCCGCGGUAACACGUAGGGGGCGAGCGUUGUUCGGAAUCAUUGGGCGUAAAGGGCGUGCAGGCGGCACUGCAAGUCCGGCGUGAAAGACCCCGGCCCAACC
rnacentral:rRNA from 1 species